UACGUAGGGUGCGAGCGUUAAUCGGAAUUACUGGGCGUAAAGCGUGCGCAGGCGGUUCGUUAAGUUCGAUGUGAAAGCCCCGGGCUCAACCUGGGAACUGCAUUGGAAACUGGCGAGCUUGAGUGUGGCAGAGGGGGGUGGAAUUCCGCGUGUAGCAGUGAAAUGCGUAGAGAUGCGGAGGAACACCGAUGGCGAAGGCAGCCCCCUGGGCCAACACUGACGCUCAGGCACGAAAGCGUGGGGAGCAAACAGGAUUAGAUACCCUGGUAGUCCACGCCCUAAACGAUGCUCACUAGGUGUUGGGGAAGCGAUUCCUUGGUACCGUAGCUAACGCGUGAAGUGAGCCGCCUGGGGAGUACGGCCGCAAGGUUAAA
rnacentral:rRNA from 1 species